AUUGAACGCUGGCGGCAUGCCUUACACAUGCAAGUCGAACGGCAGCACGGGGGCAACCCUGGUGGCGAGUGGCGAACGGGUGAGUAAUGCAUCGGAACGUACCCGGAAGUGGGGGAUAACGUAGCGAAAGUUACGCUAAUACCGCAUAUUCUGUGAGCAGGAAAGCAGGGGAUCGCAAGACCUUGCGCUUUCGGAGCGGCCGAUGUCGGAUUAGCUAGUUGGUGAGGUAAAGGCUUACCAAGGCGACGAUCCGUAGCUGGUCUUAGAGGAUGAUCAGCCACACUGGGACUGAGACACGGCCCAGACUCCUACGGGAGGCAGCAGUGGGGAAUUUUGGACAAUGGGGGAAACCCUGAUCCAGCCACGCCGCGUGAGUGAAGAAGGCCUUCGGGUUGUAAGGCUCUUUCGGACAGAAAGAAAUCGCCAUCUCUAAUACAGGUGGUGGAUGACGGUACUGUAAGAAGAAGCACCGGCUAACUACGUGCCAGCAGCCGCCGUAA
rnacentral:rRNA from 1 species